GAUGAACGCUGGCGGCGUGCCUAAUACAUGCAAGUCGAGCGAACAGAUGAGGAGCUUGCUCCUCUGGCGUUAGCGGCGGACGGGUGAGUAACACGUGGAUAACCUACCUAUAAGACUGGGAUAACUUCGGGAAACCGGAGCUAAUACCGGAUAAUAUAUUGAACCGCAUGGUUCAAUAGUGAAAGACGGUUUUGCUGUCACUUAUAGAUGGAUCCGCGCCGCAUUAGCUAGUUGGUAAGGUAACGGCUUACCAAGGCAACGAUGCGUAGCCGACCUGAGAGGGUGAUCGGCCACACUGGAACUGAGACACGGUCCAGACUCCUACGGGAGGCAGCAGUAGGGAAUCUUCCGCAACGGGCGAAAGCCUGACGGAGCAACGCCGCGUGAGUGAUGAAGGUCUUCGGAUCGUAAAACUCUGUUAUUAGGGAAGAACAAAUGUGUAAGUAACUAUGCACGUCUUGACGGUACCUAAUCAGAAAGCCACGGCUAACUACGUG
rnacentral:rRNA from 1 species